UACCUUCAAAUUAGUUUAGUUUGAAAGCAUAAAUCUGAUAGGCCUAUUGGGCUUCCGGUUGCAGCACUGCUGGGCAGUUAUUCUACCACAAGGGAUGCAGCAGCAGCCAUGACAGCACUGCAUGUCUCCAGCAGCAGUUUACCUGUUUCUUAUCUCAUCUUUUAUUUUAAACUUUAUUAUAUGAAUAAUACAUAUAUCUUAUCUCAAUUUUUUAUUUUAAACUUUAUUAUGUGAACAAUAUGGUUGUAGUGAAAACAAUAUUUUGCACAACUAUAGUAUUUCUAUUUCAAACUUCAUUACGUUAAUAAUACAGUUUACAAUGCAAAACAAUAUUUGCGCAACUAUAUGUAUGAUCUGCUGAAGACAGUAACAUCACAUCUUUUAUUUCAAACUUCACUAAGUAAACAUUACAAUCUGCAGUGUAAGAAACUGCCGCUGCUAAGUGUGCUUCUCUUGUCUCUCAGAUCAAUAGCAGCAGCAGGCGGGCAGCUGCUGCUUACUCAUGCAGCCAAACACUACACUAUUAUUAGGUACCAUUAACAUUAUUUUUAAAAUAAACUUACUUAGAUUUAAAAUGAUUUAAGUCAUCAAGAAACGAGAUAAGUUGCUUUGGAACGGUGGGACGGAGGAGAAAACAACUUGGACUCCAUUCCUGUCCAUAUUGAGGGCACUGUCAAGUGACAUGAUAUCCAAAGCUUGUGCCAGGCAGGCAUCGUGACCACAUGAGCUGCCAAAACCCCAUGAUGGCACGGCACCUGAGGAAUAGCCGCUUCUCUGAACUUUCGAUAAGAAAACAAUUUCAGAAAAGUUCCAGUUAGUACAAACCAUUCGGUCGUGGUAAAAGUAACAUUUGAAGGAAACCUCAUCCUCUCCCCAUUUGAGAUAUUCCCUCGCUCGCUCAGCAGCAGGAGGCAGCGGCUGCUGUCAACAACAACUGGCUGUCCGACACCGCAUUUAAGCUUCACCCUCCCCUCGGGCCUCCUCCACUAAAACUCGGAUAGAUCUCAGUGCAGUGCUUCCCUGUUCCCUCCAUCAAGAAACAGCAAAGAUCCAGUGCAGAGAGAGAGAGAAGCGCCAUGGCACUCUGAACAAGAAAAGAAAGAGCUAGAGAGAUCUCAGUCAGCC
rnacentral:lncRNA from 1 species